rfam:Edwardsiella ictaluri 93-146, complete genome.
CGCCGUUAUUCACCGGCACGGGCGUCGAGGAAACUCAACGCCCGUGCCUCUAUGUUAGGGGCAAAGCAACCGAA